rnacentral:rRNA from 1 species
AUGGCAGCCGCGCCGCCGCCCAAGGCCGACGAGCUGCAGCCGCAUCCGCCCAAGGAGCAGCUGCCCAGUGUGUCCUUCUGCAUAACCAGCCCGCCGCCAUGGCCCGAGGCCGUGAUCCUAGGAUUUCAGCAUUUCAUAGUCAUGCUGGGCACCACCGUCAUCAUACCAAGCGCGCUUGUUCCUCAGAUGGGAGGUGGAAAUGAGGAGAAAGCUCGGGUGAUCCAGACGCUCUUGUUCGUCGCCGGCAUAAACACCUUGCUGCAAACCUUCUUCGGGUCUUGCCUCCCCGUCGUCAUGGGCGGCUCCUACACCUUCGUCGCGCCGACCAUCUCCAUCAUCUUGGCCGGACGCUACGACAAUGAGGCAGACCCUCACGAGAAAUUCCUACGGACGAUGAGGGGGACACAAGGCGCUCUCAUCAUCGCGUCCACGAUUCAGAUCAUCCUCGGCUUCAGCGGCCUCUGGCGCAAUGUUGUCAAAUUGCUGAGCCCAUUAUCUGCAGUUCCUCUUGUUUCACUCGUCGGAUUUGGGCUUUAUGAGCUCGGCUUUCCAGCGGUAGCCAAGUGCGUGGAAAUCGGUCUUCCAGAACUCAUCCUAAUGGUCGCAUUUUCUCAGUAUUUGCCUCAUGUGUUGCAUUCCGGAAAGGGCGUCUUUGGCCGGUUUGCUGUUCUUUUCACCGUGUCAAUCGUGUGGCUCUACGCAUACAUCCUCACAAUCAGCGGCGCCUACAAGAACGCCAAGUUGAAGACGCAGGCGCAUUGCCGCGUCGAUCGUUCAGGGCUUAUCGGAGGAGCUCCAUGGAUAAGCGUUCCGUAUCCGUUUCAGUGGGGGGCUCCUACAUUCGAUGCUGGAGAAUGUUUUGCAAUGAUGAUGACUUCAUUCAUUGCCAUUGUAGAGUCCACUGGAGCCUUCAUUGCUGCUUCAAGGUAUGCAAGUGCAACGAUGAUACCUCCGUCGAUCGUCAGUCGGGGAAUUGGUUGGCAGGGCAUCGGCAUCUUGCUUGAUUCAUUCUUUGGGACAGCCAAUGGAACCUCAGUUGCAGUGGAGAAUGUUGGUUUACUUGCUGUGACACAUGUUGGCAGCAGGAGAGUGGUGCAAAUAUCUGCCGGCUUCAUGAUUUUCUUCGCGGUCCUAGGAAAAUUUGGAGCCCUAUUCGCAUCCAUCCCAUUGCCUAUAUUUGCUGGCAUGUACUGUGUUUUCUUCGCAUAUGUCGGUGCGUGUGGUCUGAGCUUCCUCCAGUUCUGCAACCUGAACAGCUUCAGGACCAAGUUCAUCCUGGGCUUCUCCUUCUUCAUCGGCAUAUCGGUGCCGCAGUACUUCAACGAGUACGCCUCCGUCUCGGGCCACGGCCCGGUGCACACGGGCGCCAGAUGGUUCAACGACAUGAUCAACGUGCCCUUCUCCAACAAGCCGUUCGUGGCGGGGCUGGUGGCCUACUUCCUGGACAACACGAUGCACCUGCACCAGAGCGCGGUGCGGAAGGACAGGGGGUACCACUGGUGGGACAAGUUCAGGAGCUUCAAGAAGGACGCCCGGAGCGAGGAGUUCUACUCGCUGCCAUUCAACCUCAACAAGUUCUUCCCUUCGGUAUGA